rnacentral:rRNA from 1 species
AGAGCGAACGCUGGCGGCAGGCCUAAUACAUGCAAGUCGAACGGACCCUUCGGGGUUAGUGGCGGACGGGUGAGUAACACGUGGGAACGUGCCCUUUGGUUCGGAACAACUCAGGGAAACUUGAGCUAAUACCGAAUGUGCCCUUCGGGGGAAAGAUUUAUCGCCAUUGGAGCGGCCCGCGUCUGAUUAGCUAGUUGGUGAGGUAAAGGCUCACCAAGGCGACGAUCAGUAGCUGGUCUGAGAGGAUGAUCAGCCACACUGGAACUGAAACACGGUCCAGACUCCUACGGGAGGCAGCAGUGGGGAAUUUUGCGCAAUGGGGAAACCCUGACGCAGCAACGCCGCGUGGAGGAUGAAGUCCCGUUGGACGUAAACUCCUUUCGAUCGGGACGAUUAUGACGGUACGGAAGAGAACGCCCGGCUAACUCGCGCCAGCAGCCGC